GGGCCCGCACAAGCGGUGGAGCAUGUGGUUCAAUUCGACGCAACGCGAAGAACCUUACCUGGGCUCGAACGGCUGGUCAACGGCGGUGGAAACAUCGCUACCCCGCAAGGGGGUCCAGUCGAGGUGCUGCAUGGCUGUCGUCAGCUCGUGUCGUGAGAUGUUGGGUUAAGUCCCGCAACGAGCGCAACCCUUGUCCUGUGUUGCCAUGCCGAAAGGCGGAACUCGCAGGAGACCGCCAGCGAUAAGCUGGAGGAAGGUGGGGAUGACGUCAAGUCCUCAUGGCCUUUAUGUCCAGGGCUACACACGUGCUACAAUGGCCGGUACAAAGCGCAGCAAACCCGCGAGGGGGAGCCAAUCGCAAAAAACCGGUCUCAGUUCGGAUUGCAGGCUGCAACUCGCCUGCAUGAAGCUGGAAUCGCUAGUAAUGGCAGAUCAGCACGCUGCCGUGAAUACGUUCCCGGGCCUU
rnacentral:rRNA from 1 species